AUGAAAAUGAUCUGUCUGGGGGUCUUUUUCAUUUUGGCAGCUUUCACAGGUGCCCAGUCCCAGGUGCAGCUGGUGGAGUCCGGAGGGGAUGUGAAAAAGCCUGGAGACUCUCUCCGCCUCUCCUGCAAAGCCUCUGGGUUCACCUUCAGCAACCACAGUAUGAACUGGGUCCGACAGGCUCCCGGGAAGGGGCUGGAGUGGGUCUCACCAGGGCUGAGUUCUUCUUCAGUCAUGAAUAACUACUCCUCCUCCAUCCAGGGGCGAUUCACAGCCUCCAAGGACAGCGCCAACUUCUACCUGCAAAUGACCAGUCUGAAGCCCGAGGACACCGCCGUGUAUUACUGUGCGAGAGACACUGACACACAGUGA